rnacentral:rRNA from 1 species
GACGAACGCUGGCGGCGUGCUUAACACAUGCAAGUCGAACGGAAAGGCCCCCUUGUGGGGGUCGCGAGUGGCGAACGGGUGAGUUACACGUGAGUUACCUACCCUUUACCUUGGGAUUACUUCAGGGAAAUGGGGCUAAUACCGGAUAGGAGCUCCUGCUGCAUGGUGGGGGUUGGAAAGUUUCGGCGGUUGGGGAUGGACUCGCGGCUUAUCAGCUUGUUGGUGGGGUAGUGGCUCACCAAGGCUUUGACGGGUAGCCGGCCUGAGAGGGUGACCGGCCACAUUGGGACUGAGAUACGGCCCAGACUCCUACGGGAGGCAGCAGUGGGGAAUAUUGCACAAUGGGCGGAAGCCUGAUGCAGCAACGCCGCGUGCGGGAUGACGGCCUUCGGGUUGUAAACCGCUUUCGCCUGUGACGAAGCGUGAGUGACGGUAAUGGGUAAAGAAGCACCGGCUAACUACGUG